rnacentral:tRNA from 1 species
UGUCCUGUAGCUCAGUGGCAGAGUGCUUGCUUAGCAUGCAUGAGGCACUGGGUUUGAUCCUCAGCACCACAU